ensembl:lncRNA
GUUUGCCUCACAGCUCUGGGAUUGGGAUUCGAUUCCUGUCUCCGUCUUGUGUGCACCGAGUUGGCAUGUUCUCCCCGUGCUUCGGGGGUUUCCUCUGGGUACUCCGGUUUCCUCCCCGGUCCAAAGAUAUGAACUGUAGGCUGAUGGCAUGUCUAAAUUCUACGUAGUGUGCGAACGUGUGUGCGAUUGUGCCCUGCAGUGGGUCGGCACCCCAUCCAGUGUGUCCCCCGCCCUAUGCCCCAAGUCUCCUUUGAUAGACUCCAGGGGACUUGGGGCACAAGGCGAGGGACAUCCUGGAUAGGGUGCCAACCCAUCGCAAGCAUGCACGGAAACGCAGCCAUGAAUCAUACAGUGUGACUUCAGGGUAAGUCAGCAGUGAUCUCUAUUACUCACUACAGAAAGUUCAUUUAUUUUAAUGUUCCUGGUUAUGGCUCAAACAGUUAACACAUGCACUUUAUUAAGGCAUGAAAAAGUUCAAACAUGCUGAAAGUCUUAAGCAGGUUGCUGUGAGUCAUCGAAUUACGAAUCGAGAGGAUCAGGGAAAUCGCAAGUCGGAUACGUUAGAAACGUG